UAAUAUGGCAGAUUAGUGCAAUAGACUUAAGCCCUAUAAAUAAAGUAAUCACUGGUAUUAGAA
rnacentral:tRNA from 1 species